GGUGAACGCUGGCGGCGUGCUUAAGACAUGCAAGUCGAACGGCAGUCUUCGGACUGUAGUGGCGCACGGGUGAGUAACGCGUAACAGACCUACCCCAAAGUCGCGGAUAACGAUUCGAAAGAAUCGCUAAUACGUGAUGUGCUGUCAGAUUGUGUUCUGCCAGUAAAGAUUGAUUGCUUUUGGAUGGGGUUGCGUUCCUUCAGCGAGUUGGUGGGGUAAAGGCCCACCAAGGCGACGACGGAUAGCCGGCCUGAGAGGGUGGCCGGCCACAGGGGCACUGAGACACGGGUCCCACUCCUACGGGAGGCAGCAGUUAGGAAUCUUCCACAAUGGGCGAAAGCCUGAUGGAGCGACGCCGCGUGAGGGAUGAAGGUCUUCGGAUCGUAAACCUCUGAAUCAGGGACGAAAGACACUUCGGUGGGAUGACGGUACCUGAGUAAUAGCACCGGCUAACUCCGUGCCAGCCGCCGCGGUAAAAC
rnacentral:rRNA from 1 species